rnacentral:rRNA from 1 species
AGUCGAACGGUGAUGUCAGAGCUUGCUCUGGCGGAUCAGUGGCGAACGGGUGAGUAACACGUGAGUAACCUGCCCCCGACUCUGGGAUAACUGCUAGAAAUGGUAGCUAAUACCGGAUAUGACGAUUGGCCGCAUGGUCUGGUCGUGGAAAGAAUUUCGGUUGGGGAUGGACUCGCGGCCUAUCAGGUUGUUGGUGAGGUAAUGGCUCACCAAGCCUACGACGGGUAGCCGGCCUGAGAGGGUGACCGGCCACACUGGGACUGAGACACGGCCCAGACUCCUACGGGAGGCAGCAGUGGGGAAUAUUGCACAAUGGGCGAAAGCCUGAUGCAGCAACGCCGCGUGAGGGAUGACGGCCUUCGGGUUGUAAACCUCUUUUAGUAGGGAAGAAGCGAAAGUGACGGUACCUGCAGAAAAAGCACCGGCUAACUACGUGCCAGCAGCCGCGGUAAUACGUAGGGUGCAAGCGUUGUCCGGAAUUAUUGGGCGUAAAGAGCUCGUAGGCGGUUUGUCGCGUCUGCUGUGAAAUCCCGAGGCUCAACCUCGGGUCUGCAGUGGGUACGGGCAGACUAGAGUGCGGUAGGGGAGAUUGGAAUUCCUGGUGUAGCGGUGGAAUGCGCAGAUAUCAGGAGGAACACCGAUGGCGAAGGCAGAUCUCUGGGCCGUAACUGACGCUGAGGAGCGAAAGCAUGGGGAGCGAACAGGAUUAGAUACCCUGGUAGUCCAUGCCGUAAACGUUGGGAACUAGAUGUGGGGACCAUUCCACGGUCUCCGUGUCGCAGCUAACGCAUUAAGUUCCCCGCCUGGGGAGUACGGCCGCAAGGCUAAAACUCAAAGGAAUUGACGGGGGCCCGCACAAGCGGCGGAGCAUGCGGAUUAAUUCGAUGCAACGCGAAGAACCUUACCAAGGCUUGACAUAUACCGGAAACAUGCAGAAAUGUGUGCCCCGCAAGGUCGGUAUACAGGUGGUGCAUGGUUGUCGUCAGCUCGUGUCGUGAGAUGUUGGGUUAAGUCCCGCAACGAGCGCAACCCUCGUUCUAUGUUGCCAGCACGUAAUGGUGGGAACUCAUAGGAGACUGCCGGGGUCAACUCGGAGGAAGGUGGGGAUGACGUCAAAUCAUCAUGCCCCUUAUGUCUUGGGCUUCACGCAUGCUACAAUGGCCGGUACAAAGGGCUGCGAUACCGUAAGGUGGAGCGAAUCCCAAAAAGCCGGUCUCAGUUCGGAUUGAGGUCUGCAACUCGACCUCAUGAAGUCGGAGUCGCUAGUAAUCGCAGAUCAGCAACGCUGCGGUGAAUACGUUCCCGGGCCUUGUACACACCGCCCGUCAAGUCAUGAAAGUCGGUAACACCCGAAGCCAGUGGCCUAACCGCAAGGGAGG